rnacentral:rRNA from 1 species
UACAGAGGUCCCAAGCGUUGUUCGGAUUCACUGGGCGUAAAGGGUGCGUAGGUGGUGAGGUAAGUCGGAUGUGAAAUCUCCGAGCUCAACUCGGAAAUGGCAUUGGAAACUACCUUGCUCGAGGGUUGGAGGGGGGGACUGGAAUACUUGGUGUAGCAGUGAAAUGCGUAGAUAUCAAGUGGAACACCAGUGGCGAAGGCGAGUCCCUGGACAACUCCUGACACUGAGGCACGAAAGCUAGGGGAGCAAACAGG